UUUAUUAUAUGAACAUUAACGUUAAGUUAAACUCAGAGGCAGUGGUAUGAAGAAUAGGGAACUUGUCAGGAGACCUGGAUUCUUUCCCUACUCUGCCACGAACUUGCUACAUGACCUUUGGCAAGUCACUUCACUUCUCUGUCUUUCUGUUUUCCAUCCUGCCCUUUGUCUGUAUUAUCUAUUUAGACUAAUUUUAAGGGGACAGGGAUUGUCUCUUCCUAUAGGUUUCAACAGUGCCCUGCACACCCAGUGCUACUGUAAUGCAAAUGUUGCUAAGGGCAAUACAAGAGACGACAUCUUUAAACUAGAGCUGUCAAUUAAUUGCAGUUAAAGCCUGCUAUUAACUGAAAACAAAAUUAACUCAUUAAUUUUUUAAACUGCAUUAAUCACAUACCUCUGAGUGAGGUAUUGGCUGCAGAGGGACCAGACAGCCUCCGGUCAGGUGCAAAUCUGCCUCCGGAGGGUGAGAAGAGAAGAGGAAGUGGCUCCUAUCCUGACUCUGAUGGAGAGGUGGAGUAUGGAAGGUGCCACCCCCCACCCAAUUUGAUCCUUCUAGAAAGACUGUUCUUGUGGAGAAGUAGACCCCAGGACCUCCUUCACUGCAAAAAUUGUUUUUGCUAAAGGAAGAAAGAGAGCCUUGAGCUGCUUCAGAGGGUAAGUCUAUACUGCAAUGUAAGCCCAGGAUUAGUGGGAGUCAAGUCCACAGACCCUGGGUUGUAAGACCAGGGCUUGAGCAUCCACAUUCAUUGGUGACCCUAGGUUUACAAUUUCUGGACUCAGACUCCAAACCUGGGACACCAACAUCCACACAGCAGUAUACUGACUCAAGUCAAACCACCGUAUUCCAAACUUCUCAGUGCCUUCCCAGCUGUGGCCACUCUAAUCCCUGGUUUGUUGUGCAGUGUGGAACAACCUGACUGUACUACCAUAUGUUACAGGAAGUUGUCACAAUCCACAAAGUUCCCAACACAUCCUGCUGACCUGUCUUUUGGGUCUACACAGUCUCGGCAACCACAGCCAGCAACAUCGAGGAGUUACCAUUUGAAGAUCUUCUCUUGCUUGUGUUUUUGUUCCUGUUUCAGCAAACAGGCAGAGUAUCCAUGAGACGCUGGUGGACAUUCUGGUGGCAUUUUCUGACCUAUCAAAGACUCCUGAUGGAGGAGGAGAAGGAGGAUUAUAGACAUGGAAGACUUGAACUGGCUGAUGCUCCUUGUGACUCUUGAUAUAGCCACUGAUGGCCCCUAUGUAGACCAGCCUUUCAGGAGCAGGGCAACAAGUACAGACUUGUGGGAUCAAUUGUCAUGCAGACUUCAGAUGACCAGCAGUGGGUACAGAACUUUUGCAUGAAGAAAGCCACAUUUCUGGAGCUUUGUGAGCAGCUUACCCCUAUCCUCCAGUGUUAGGACACACAAAUAGUGGCUGACAUGUAGGUCAAGAAGGAAGUCUAUAAUUGUUUGGAGGCUGGCUAACCAGACUGCUACAAAUCCAUUGCUAACCAGUUAAAUGUUGGAAAGUCAACUUGGGAGAUAUCAUAACGAUUGGGUGAUUUACCCAAAAGUGGUGGGCAUAAACAAUAUCCCUGAAGUAAUUGCUGGUUUAUGGAUGUGAAUGUGGACUGCACCGGAAGAGUUAAUGAUGCCAGGGUUUUCUGAUUAUCAAAAGACUAUGUUCAUGGACAGGCUGGGACACUAUUGCCACUAACUGCCAUUGUCAUAAAUGGAGUUACUGUCUGGGGGACCCCACGUACCCUCUUUUGCCUGGCAAAAAAAGGUUUAAUUACACUUUCAGCUUGUGCAGAAUGGUGGCUGAAUGUGUGUUCAGCUGAUUGAAAUCCUGUUGGUGCUGUCUGCAGACCCAUUUGGAUUCCUAUGUCAUCAAUGCUGUCUGCAUUAUUGCGGCUUCCUGUUUUCUUCAACAAUCUUUGCAAAGCCCAUGGUGAACCAUUUGAAUCUGAAUGGACCUAUGACAGUAAUAGAUUGCUGAACCAGUACACUCAACCAGAAAGUGUACUUACCACAGCUGCACAGGAGGCACCUGGGCAAUACAGAUCAGGGACACUCCGUGCAGCCCAGUUAUAGAUUUGCAUGGCCCAAUGGAAAUGGGGGAAUAGUACGUUUAUAAAUGUGCUUGUACAAUAUUUACAGUAACUGAGGCACUGCCACAUCAUAUAAAAAUAGGGGAGAGGGAUUGACCGCCAUACAUUGUACUUGUGAACAAUGAACUGCUUUUGAAAUGAGGGUGAUGGGGAUUGAUUCCCAUGCAUUGUACUUGUGAAUGAGAUAACUGCUUAUGCAAUGGGGAGAGGGAUGUGUGGCAAGAAUUGUGGAUUUACAGUAUGGCGUAUGGCUUGAGGUAGAUAAAAGUAUUAAGAAAUAGUGAUUGGAUUCCACUUACCAGUUGUCCCUUAUCAUGUGUUUAUCUUUAUUAUUUCAAAUACACUUUAUAUGAUGUGAUGCACUAAUGGUAAUAACAUUUCUUAGUAAAAUAAAAGUCUUUAGUUUUGAA